ACCCAUGCCUUGUUAUUCCUCACUAUACAAUAAAAAGAAAAAAAAAAAAUCAUGAACAUCUCCAACUCAAAAAUUACUGUUAGUUAUCAGUUAAAAAAUUUCCAACGCCGAACAAUUCAUCAGUUAUCCUCUGAGCAUCCAAAACGACAAACCAACCCAAGGUUAAACGACAAAACUCUGACUCUGCUGCAUCUGCUGCCUCAGCUCUUUCCUUAGCUUAUGAGAAAACAAUCUACAAGCAUCCAUGCUUAGAUCCAUGGCUGCUGCUAGUGCCACGAAAGCUGCCGCAUCCUCCGUGCAAUUCACGUGCUGAACCCCAACCUGCACCUCCGGUUUACUACACCUGCUGGAACCUUUCACUGUCGAUGACAUUACGAAUCCUCUGUACAAGAAUUGCGAGAAGAGUCCAGCUCCCAACUCUGAUCCUGACCACGACCCAGAUCCUGAUCCUGAUCCGAAAUCGCAGCUGCUGUGCGGGCUGCACACUGGGGUGGAGACACUGUUGGUGGUGUCGAUUGUGAAUUUGCCUCCUUUUUUUGUGCUAAUGACGGAAUUGACUAGGGUGGUGGUGGAGGGGGUGGCGGUGACGGUGUCAUGUAUCAAUUCGAAACGAUAGCCUAAUUCGUUGGUUUUAGGAUGUUCCCGCCACGCCUCUAGGCGGCCCCAGGACUUCCAGGUGCCGAGUGAUGGGCGAAGGAUUAGCCAAUCACCUGGGUUGGAGCGGCUGACGCGGUCUGAACCUGGGGAUGGAACGAAUGGUGUCACCAUCGAUGCCAUUGCUACUGGUGAGCCUGAGAGGUCAUGGAUUGUAAUUGUCCAUCCUUUUCGCUCUUUUGCAGGUUGGUCCUUUUCAGCUCCCGCAGAAAGUAGCCAGUUUCUUGAUGUGCUUGGUUCCAACAUUGAUUGCCUUGGUCCCAAAUUGCGAUCUGCAGGGUUUCUCAAACUGAACUUGCAAGUGAAAACGGCCUGCCUGGCACUUCCUUGUACUUGAAAAACCUGAGGGCUACACUCGGGCUCUCCUCCAAACUGAAACACAUAUCUCGGAUCAGGUUCAGCUCUAACACUCAAAUAAAACUCCGCCAUGGAUGAUCCUUUCUUGUUCCUUCCUCCAAUACCAAUCCAUCCAUUGUGCAAUGCAUAAGGCCUCGACUCUGCCCUUUUCAUGUCCAGUGGAACAGUCACCCUCCCUAAAAGCUUCCCAUCUUUCCACCCACAUCUAAACCCAUCUUCGCAAGUAUAGAUCUCAAUAUUCAAACUCUUGGGUUUCUUAGAAGACGAGAAUUUCUCGAUCUGGGAUUUAUCGAGAUUGAAACAAGCCGCAAGAGAAUUUGAUAUGUAAUUGCUUUCUGGGUUUUUACCCUGUUCUUGCUUGUGUUGAUUCAAUAGAGGGAUUGUGGCAUGUUGGGUAGGAAAAUUCUUGAGCUUGAUCUUGCAAAAGCAUGAGCUUACUCCUGAAAAGGAGGAUCUUGAAGCAGGUGGAAACUUCAGAGCCAAGUCACCUACGAGGAUCCGUACAAAUGGGCACGGAUCCAUUGUUGAUUGAGAACAAAUUUCAAUUGCUGUAACGACGAAUACUGAUGGUAGCGCAGCCUCAGACGGUGGUGUUGGUGGGAUAUUUUGUUGUGUUCAAGAGAAAGGGAGAGAUGGGAUUUGGGGAGGAGAAGAUAUGUAGAGUUACCAGCUGGAAUAAAAGAGGAGAAGAGAAUCAGCAGAGAAACAUGAGAGUGAAACAGGCUGUAAUAUUAGCUGCGUAUUUCUUUGAUAAUACGGAUAGUAAUCUGAUAAAGUCAAGCUCAGAAUGCGGCUGUGAGAUUGCUUGUGUGUAAUUAAGAAAAUCUUGUGAU
rnacentral:misc_RNA from 1 species